rnacentral:rRNA from 1 species
CUUGACCUCAAAUCAGGUAGGACUACCCGCUGAACUUAAGCAUAUCAAUAAGCGGAGGAAAAGAAACUAACAAGGAUUCCCCUAGUAACUGCGAGUGAAGCGGGAAAAGCUCAAAUUUUGAAUCUGGGGGUCU